GCCGCAAUGGUGGAAUUGGUAGACAGUAAUGGCUGUGCGGGUUCGAGUCCCGCUCGCGGCA
rnacentral:tRNA from 1 species